rnacentral:rRNA from 1 species
UACAGAGGGGGCCAGCGUUAUUCGGAAUUAUUGGGCGUAAAGGGCGCGUAGGCGGCUUUGCGUGUCUUUCGUGAAAUCCCUCGGCUCAACUGAGGACGUGCGGAAGAAACUGCAGGGCUGGAGUCCGGGAGAGGAGGGUGGAAUUCCCAGUGUAGCGGUGAAAUGCGUAGAUAUUGGGAGGAACACCCGUGGCGAAGGCGGCUCUCUGGGACGGUACUGACGCUGAGACGCGAAAGCGUGGGGAGCGAACAGG